AUCCCAUGAUGAGGUCACUUAUUGAAUCACUCCCAAGCCUCAUACAAAGACUCGUCAUCCAAUUGUUGGAAAGUUGUGAUCUCGUUCCUUAACUU
rfam:Gossypium raimondii Chr09_contig_1050, whole genome shotgun sequence.